rnacentral:rRNA from 1 species
GAUGAACGCUGGCGGCGUGCCUAAUACAUGCAAGUCGAGCGAACAGACGAGGAGCUUGCUCCUUCGACGUUAGCGGCGGACGGGUGAGUAACACGUAGGUAACCUACCUAUACGACUGGGAUAACUUCGGGAAACCGGAGCUAAUACCGGAUAAUAUUUCGAACCGCAUGGUUCGAUAGUGAAAGAUGGCUUUGCUAUCACUUAUAGAUGGACCUGCGCCGUAUUAGCUAGUUGGUAAGGUAACGGCUUACCAAGGCAACGAUACGUAGCCGACCUGAGAGGGUGAUCGGCCACACUGGAACUGAGACACGGUCCAGACUCCUACGGGAGGCAGCAGUAGGGAAUCUUCCGCAAUGGGCGAAAGCCUGACGGAGCAACGCCGCGUGAGUGAUGAAGGUCUUCGGAUCGUAAAACUCUGUUAUUAGGGAAGAACAAACGUGUAAGUAACUGUGCACGUCUUGACGGUACCUAAUCAGAAAGCCACGGCUAACUACGUG